rnacentral:lncRNA from 1 species
AAUAAAUAGAUGAAUGAAUAGUUCAAAAAAUCAUGCCAGUACCUCGUUAAUAGGAACUUUGCAGAAGAUGUCCUACCUGAAAUGUAUUGGGUGCUUUGAAUAUGCAUGUAUAGUCUGAGGAAGUGUUGUAAAUGCCAAAGAAAAGUGGA